GAGGGUAUAGCUCAGUGGUGGGGCGUGUGUUUAGCAUGCACAAGGUCCUGGGUUCAAUCCCCAGUACCUCCA
rnacentral:tRNA from 1 species